rnacentral:rRNA from 1 species
GAAUCUUCCGCAAUGGACGAAAGUCUGACGGAGCAACGCCGCGUGAGUGAUGAAGGUUUUCGGAUCGUAAAGCUCUGUUGUUAGGGAAGAAACAAGUACCGUUCGAAUAGGGCGGUACCUUGACGGUACCUAACCAGAAAGCACGGCUAACUACGUGCCAGCAGCCGCGGUAAUACGUAGGUGGCAAGCGUUGUCCGGAAUUAUUGGGCG